AUUGAACGCUGGCGGCAAGCCUAACACAUGCAAGUCGAACGAGUGGCGGACGGGUGAGUAAUGUCUGGGAAACUGCCUGAUGGAGGGGGAUAACUACUGGAAACGGUAGCUAAUACCGCAUACCAUCGGAUGUGCCCAGAUGGGAUUAGCUAGUAGGUGGGGUAAAGGCUCACCAAGGCGACGAUCCCUAGCUGGUCUGAGAGGAUGACCAGCCACCCUGGAACUGAGACAAGGUCCAGCUGCCUACGGGAGGCAGCAGUGGGGAAUAUUGCACAAGGGGAGCAAGCCUGAUGCAGCCAUGCCUCGUGUAUGAUGAAGGCCUUCGGGGUGUAAAGUACUUUAAGCGGGGAGGCGUUACCCGCAGAAGAAGCACCGGCUAACUCCGUGCCAGCAGCCGCGGUAAUAC
rnacentral:rRNA from 1 species